AUUGAACGCUGGCGGCAAGCCUAACACAUGCAAGUCGAACGAGUGGCGGACGGGUGAGUAAUGUCUGGGACACUGCCUGAUGGAGGGGGAUAACUACUGGAAACGGUAGCUAAUACCGCAUACCAUCGGAUGUGCCAAGAUGGGAUUAGCUAGUAGGUGGGGUAUAGGCUCACGGAGGCGACGAUCCCUCGCGGGUACGAGAGGAUGACCAGCCACACUGGAACUGAGACACGGUCCAGACGCCUACGGGAGGAAGCAGUGGGGAAUAUUGCACAAUGGGCGCAAGCCUGAUGCAGCCAUGCCGCGUGUAUGAAGAAGGCCUUCGGGUUGUAAAGUACUUUCAGCGGGGAGGCGUUACCCGCAGAAGAAGCACCGGCUAACUCCGUGCCAGCAGCCGCGGUAAUUC
rnacentral:rRNA from 1 species